UACGUAGGGUCCGAGCGUUGUCCGGAAUUACUGGGCGUAAAGAGCUCGUAGGUGGUUUGUCGCGUUGUUCGUGAAAACUCACAGCUUAACUGUGGGCGUGCGGGCGAGUACGGGCAGACUUGAGUACUGCAGGGGAGACUGGAAUUCCUGGUGUAGCGGUGGAAUGCGCAGAUAUCAGGAAGAACACCCGUGGCGAAGGCGGCUCUCUGGGACGGUACUGACGCGAGACGCGAAAGCGUGGGGAGCGAACAGG
rnacentral:rRNA from 1 species